rnacentral:rRNA from 1 species
CCUACGGGAGGCAGCAGUAGGGAAUCUUCCGCAAUGGACGAAAGUCUGACGGGGCAACGCCGCGUGAGCGAUGAAGGCCUUCGGGUCGUAAAGCUCUGUUGUCAGGGAAGAACAAGUACCGGAGUAACUGCCGGUACCUUGACGGUACCUGACCAGAAAGCCACGGCUAACUACGUGCCAGCAGCCGCGGUAAUACGUAGGGUGCGAGCGUUAAUCGGAAUUACUGGGCGUAAAGCGUGCGCAGGCGGUUUUGUAAGCCAGAUGUGAAAUCCCCGGGCUUAACCUGGGAAUGGCAUUUGGGACUGCAAGGCUGGAGUAUGGCAGAGGGGACUAGAAUUCCUGGUGUAGCAGUGAAAUGCGUAGAUAUCAGGAGGAAUACCGAUGGCGAAGGCAGGUCCCUGGGCUAAUACUGACGCUCAUGCACGAAAGCGUGGGGAGCAAACAGGAUUAGAUACCCUGGUAGUCCACGCCCUAAACGAUGUCGACUGGUUGUUGGGGGUUUGACACUCUCAGUAACGAAGCUAACGCGUGAAGUCGACCGCCUGGGGAGUACGGCCGCAAGGUUAAAACUCAAAGGAAUUGACGG